rnacentral:misc_RNA from 1 species
AAAAUUACUUUAUGUAACAGCUAGUUGAGACGCGAAUGUGCGCGCAUACAACGGAAUUAAGCAGUAGAUCGCGGUUAACGUAACACGGCCGAGAUGCAGGCGGGCGGAACAACGCUGAAAACGCUAUACGUUGGGAAUCUCGACUAUUCCGUUUCGGAGGAUUUGCUCUGCGCCCUAUUCUCACAAAUUGGGAAUGUCAGGGGAUGCAAAGUCAUCAGAGAGGGCGGGGUUAUAAUUCGAGAAAAUAAAGAACUUUGCGGUUUGAUAAUUCUAUGGAAACAAUUCUUGGAUUUCUUCAACUGAGAUAAGGAACCGGGAGAAUAGUUUGAGUUAUGGACAAAAUAAAAACUUGCUCAAAUUCAUGGCUGCCGUAUCUUUGAACGUAGGUCUUUUCAAACCGAGUCGGCAAUAAUACGUUUGUCCAGUGAUAA